AUUGAACGCUGGCUGCAGGCCUAACACAUGCAAGUCGAACGAGUGGCGGACGGGUGACCAAUGUCUGGGAAACUGCCCGAUGGAUGGGGAUAACUACUGGAAACGGUAGCUAAUACCGCAUACCAUCGGAUGUGCCCAGAUGGUAUUAGCUAGUAGGUGGGGUAAAGGCUCACCUCGGCGACGAUCCCUAGCUGGUCUGAGAGGAUGACCAGCAACACUGGAACUGAGACACGGUCCAGACUCCUACGGGAGGCAGCAGUGGGGAAUAUUGCACAAUGGGCGCAAGCCUGAUGCAGCCAUGCCGCGUGUAUGAAGAAGGCCUUCGGGUUGUAAAGUACUUUCAGCGGGGAGGCGUUACCCGCAGAAGAAGCACCGGCUAACUCCGUGCCAGCAGCCGCGGUAAUAC
rnacentral:rRNA from 1 species